AUGCACAAUCUGACAGAAGAAGGGGAUUAUGGAAGGGCUGGAGAUAUUGAUCCAGACAAUAGCGAUGAAGAUAGCGGCGACGAGGCGCAGUCAGACCUCGCGUACUCAGUUGUUAGCACCAGGCAGCAUGCAGCCCACAUGGCGUUGGAGGCUCAGGAAGAGGUUGCCGCUCUUAUCAACCGGCUCAGCAUGGGGAUCACGAUGAGCCCGUCCGACAAUAUGUCCGCGUGGCGGCGCGUCGACAGUCAGCUACGGAGGAUCUUCCAGACCUUGAGGCGCCCUUCGGGGUACGUUGCGCCUAGUGGCGGAGCACACCAUCCCCAGUACCCCUCCCUGCACCGUGCUAGGGAGGCAUGCCAGGCGGCUCCACCUUCGCCUAAACGUCCGCGUGGCCCGGGGUGUCAGCCGCAACCUGCUCGGCCGACUGGGCAGCAGACACUCACGGCACUAAUUCACAUGGAUGCCGGUUCCUCCUCUUGGCAGCAGCGGCAGGAGCAGGAGCGAACCGUUGUGCAAGUCACAUGGCCGGAGCCGCCGCGCAAGGACGGUCGCCGGCCGACUCAGCCCCUCCCGCCGUGGCUACCCCUCGCACCGUUUGGUCCUCGCAUGAUGAAACCAAAAACCCGUCUCCGUAAAAAGCCCGCAGCACCACCGGAAGGGCAGGGGGUAUGA
rnacentral:rRNA from 1 species